CUGUGACUAAGUUGUAUCUUUUCCUAACUGUAUAACUUGGCUGUCCAACUAUUUCUUCAAUUACAAGAGCCCAUCUAAUCCAUCUUUUUCCUGAGUUUGGUAGUCUAUUACUGCCUAAUCCUUGAAGUUCAUACAGCUUCCAGUCAGAUGGAUGAGAUGUAUCAAAGUUGCUUUGCAACAUGCAAUCCAGAUCAGCCAUUUACUCCUGCUUUAAGAGUUCCCACUGGACUUGUUCAUAUAUGUUGCAUACCUGACAGAUAUCUUACCUGUGUGAAUUUCAAAAGCAUUAUUUAUCAUCAUCCAGAAAGACCUGUGGGUGGGAAAAUCUUCGGUGUAAACUCUUUAAAAUGGAAGAUAAACAACUCAAAAUAGUUUCAGGAAGUCCCUGAAAUAGAGCAGAUUGACUAGGCCCUCUCCCUUCCAGAGUAAGUAAUAAGCCAAGAGUCCCCCUCAAAGGAGCAAAGCCAACCUGCAAAGAAGAAUCUCAAGCAAAGAAGUGCAAAGAAGACUUUGACACAUGGCUGCUUGCCUGGAAGAAGCAGAAACCCAGCAAGCUGCCUAGGAGAGGUUUAGAGCAACUGAGAUACCGGAAAAUGACACACUCCAACUGCUGAGCUACCUGGAAGUUGUGAUAUGUGUUCCCUGCUCUGUGAGCGACCGCCCAUGAUAGGGUGGGUUUUGGUGCUGCAGCUGCCUUUGAGUCAUUUCUGCUCCUGUAAAUAACUCAUCACCUGUAUUCCUGGCGCGGUUCAUGCGAUCCAAAUUAUGCAUGGAAGGAAGAUGGCGUUCUCAGGCUCUGUGAUACCCAGAGCUCACUAAUGUCUAAAGGAGGAGGGAAAUCUGGCUGAGGCCUUGAAGGUCCUGUUCUACCUCCAGACAUUCUGACCUUUUCAACAAGCACAUGCUGAUGUUCAGCAGUCUUAUCUUCAGAAUCAAGAAUCCUGAUGGUAACUUGGCAAAAAACGCUUAGAAAUAUGGAACCUCUCAAGCAAAACUCUCCAGGCAAUGAGACACGAUGAAAGCUUUUAUUUUAUAUAAUUUAAAUCCCAUGUUUAAGACAAUUGUUUUAUUUGAGCUGGAAAAACAUUUAUGAUCAGAAGCACUAGUGUUUUGCCCCCCUGCUCCUCCCCUCCCCCCCAGAAACGGAGAUUGGUAGAGGCUUCUCAAGCAAUCAAAAGUGAAACUGCCCUGUUAGAUUUCUGAUAAUAGUUUUCGUGUUUCCUGAAACUAAAAAUCUAACUCCAAAUGAAAAACUAAAAUACAUGUGGAAUUACCAGUAAAAGCUAAAAAUCAAAAUAACUGAGUAUCUAGAGCAAUCUUUAGCUAAAAGAACAAAAGGGGAGGACUGGAGAGAUGACUCAGCAGUUAAGAGCUCUGACUGUUCUUCUGAAGGUUGCUGGUUCAAAACCCAGCAACCACAUGGUGGCUCACAACUAUCCAUCAUGAGAUCUGAUGCCCUCUUCUGGAGUGUCUGGAGACAGCUACA